rnacentral:tRNA from 1 species
AGGAGUGUAGCUCAAUUGGCUAGAGCACCGGUCUCCAAAACCGGGGGUUGCGAGUUCGAGUCUCGCCUCUCCUGCCA